AUUCUGGAUGAGGUGAAAGUUGGGGGUUAGGGUCAGGACUGUCAGGUCUUCUCCAGACGUCUUCAGAUGUAAAUUUCUGAGAUGAGGAGACACUGACCAGUAUCAUCGUUAAUAUUUGAUGUUCAGAAACCUCAUCAGUGCGAAACUCCUGAUCUGUUUAUUCAUCUGAUGUGAAAUAUUUAUCAUGAAGCAGAAUAAUUCACAGAGGAAUAACCUGUAUGUCUGUCUGUGUUGAUGGUACAUCCCUCCUGCCUUAUAUCCUCCCUUUGUUGUUAUUAUGGGAUGGAAACGUGUGGAUCAAUGUGUUUUAUUCAUACGAUUCUGUUUGAUUUCUAACCACAGAUUCAGACUUACUGUUUCUCUGAGUAUCUUCACUCUGAUGAAUUGACGCCUCCAGUCAUCUACGGUCACAAACACGGUCUCAAACAUCAAGAUUCAUCAGCUGACACUACUCUACUCUUUGGCUCCACCCCCUCAUCUCCAAAUAUGGUCACUCCGGCAGGCGCCAAAACACCGACACCAGGCUCCAGAAGAAACCAGAGUAUGAAGUGAUGAGAGGUGUGUGUGUUGUUGUUGUGUUGAACACAGCCUGUUGGUCUGCAUGUCCUCGGCUCUGUGUGUGUGUGUGUGUGUGUGUGUGUGUGUGUGUGUGUGUGUGUGUGUGUGUGUGUGUGUGUGUGUGUGUGUGGAGGUUCGAUGUUACAUAAGUUCAGACAAAACGCAGACAUGAACCAGACAGCUGUGUUAUUCUUGGCUCUGGAUCAAACAUACACAUCCAGAAACACACAGACACACACAGUCACACACACACACACAGACACACACACACACACACACACACACAGAAGUGUCAGACGCUCCAUGUUUCGACUCUUCAGCUCGUCGUGUCGUCGAUCGUGUUUUCACAGACUCUUCAUGAGGAGCGGAUUGAGGGUUCGGUUUCAGAUGUAGAUGUUUCAGAUCAGAUGCUUCACGUCUCUAACCUGCAUUCUUUUGGCGUCCAGCAGGGGGCACUAACAGAGCAGUCUGAUUGGAUAAAGGUCUCAGUUGAUUAUCUGCUCUUCAUGACUUUAUUGUCUCUAUUUCUACAUGAUAAGAAAACGCUGAGAUGGAGGAAGACUGGACUCCACCUCCAAACUCUUCUCCGUCUUUUCUCUCCAACUGUCUGUCCUGGUCCCGCCCAGAUAGUCUCAGCUUCACUGUAUCCUCACUAGGUCUCAGUUUCUCUUCGUUGUCGUUAAAUCCAGUGAAAUCUGUUCGGGGUCAUUUUACCUCAUCGCAAGAACUCUCAAGAACCUGCAGAUUAAUGUUCAAUCGCACGAUAACGAGUUGUCUCUAUAAAGAAUGGAGGAUAAAAAUGGAGGAUACGACCUUUUAGUAGAUGAUCAGGAUGAAGGUGGAAGUUGGGGGUAACUCUCUUUUGGAAAGGACAGGAAACUGUCCUUUCAACGAAGAACUGGAAAUCAUAAAUGCUGCAUCCUCAGUUUUAGACGAUAUCUCCAGAUUUAGGAGCAACAUCUGCGUCCAUCCAGACAAAGACCUUCAUAUGAUCCCAAACUACAUUCUGACAACAGUUGAAAUGUGGAAUGUAGAACUCUUGUGAUCAGCUGAGGAGUCCAGCGAUCCGCAGAGGAACGGAAAGAAGUCGGUGUAAAUUGACACGUUAACUUGAAUGGUUACGAUCAGCUAGGAUACGACCUUUUAGGAGACGAUCAGGAUGAAGGUGGAAAUGGGGAUAAACCUGGACAGAUUCAAAUACAUGAAACUCAGCAGGCAGCAAAAACUGACUCCAACAGCUGCAGUUCUUCAAGUGUCCACUAGAGGCUGUCUCCCAAAGUGAGUCAGUCCUCAUAGAGCUCCAUGUUAAAACGUUCACAGCAGAAUUAAACAUGUUUACAGCCUCGUAGAGAAACUCUUCCUCCUUCUAUGCAGACUGACGUUAUAGACUGACCUCUUCACACGAUGAGGAGGUCAGUCUGUAACGCUGAUCCGUCUGUGAGUGAGUGAGAAAUGAAAACAGAUGAAACCUCCUUCUUCUCCUACGACAGAGAACCAAUGACUGCCCUGCAGACAGUCAGUCCAGAGGUUCACACUCUGCCCUGUGUGUGUGUGUGUGUGUGUGUGUGUGUGUGUGUGUGUGUGUGUGUGUGUGUGUGUGUGUGUGUGUGUGUGUGUGUGUGGAGGUGAAACGAGGUGACUUCAGGAUCAUGAGGUUGCAGCUUCGCUUCACUGUCCUCCGUCUCUGCGGCAUUUCACGUCUGUCUGCUGACAUAAAACUCUACGACGCAGCGCAGUAUUAAAAAUAACACACAUGCUGACACAAACACACACUCAAAAACACACACAGACACACACACACACACACACACACACACAGACACACACACACUAACACAGAGUGAUAUACACGUAUAAUCACAGAGAGGAUGAGUUUCACAGCCGUAUUAAAGGGUUAAUCUCUCUUACUCUGAAACCCUCAUAUAGUAGAGGACACACACACACACACACACACACACGGACACACACUGUAAACACACUACACACAACAGAGUGCUGCGUUAGCGAUGUUUCAUCAGUCGGAGCUGUGAGCAAAAACAGGGAAAUCAGAGCCGAGCUGAUAACUAAUGCAUGGAUCCUCCUUAAAGCACUGCUGAUGAACACACACACACACACACACACACACACACACACGCACACACACACACACACACACACAUACACACUCCACUUGCCCCGGGGAUCUAAUAUUCACACGGUUUCUCUCUGUCUCUGUCUCACACUAAAUUUGCCCUGGGAUAUAGAAAGAGUACAUCUUCCUCCACCCACCCACCCACACACACACACACACACACACACACACACACACACACACACACACACACACACACACACACACACACACACACACACACAUACACACAUAAACUCGUCUUUAUAGCUCCACACAGCAGACAGCUCAAACUCAGUGAUAACAGACGGAGGGAUCAUCGUUUCAGACCAACUCUUCAUGUUUCUGUUUUGGUGGUUUCUGGGUCACAGGGUCUGGAGGUCUGAAGGUCUGGAGGUCUGGAGGUCUGGAGGUCUGGAGGUCUGAGGGUAGAUCAGGUGUUUUAGCACCUGCCCAGUUCAGAUCCACUUUAAUCUAAUGUAGGGUCUGACCCGGAUACUUCAGACCUCGAUAAAACCACCACAGGAUCCAGAGGAACCUGCUGAGGUCUGUGAUGGUGAGAUGAUCCAUCCAAUCACUCGACUCCUGGACUGAAGCUUCAUUAUUGGGCUUCAUUUGCUCUACUGCGCCAUCAAGUGGACAAUAAAGGUAAAACAGGCAGAGUGAUUAUCAAAGACAAACUGAGGCUUUGAAUUAAUAAAUGGAUGAAUGUUUGUGGAACAGAAAUGAUGAAGUUAUUGACACGGUGUCUGUCUUUACGACGCAGUAGAAGGUCAAAGAGGGAAGAGGACAUAGAUUACAGAGAGGGUUGAGAUGUGAAUGUUUUUGUGUUAGUUUGUGACUGUGCUUUUGUUACAGGGACAACAUAUACAAAAAAUAAACAUUUCAUUUAUUUUUAUUUAAAAACAACUUUUAAACAAAUCUCAAGUCUAUGGAUUGUGAGGGGGGGUUUUGCUGCCCGUUAUAUUUCAGAUCAUCUGCUGAACCCCUUUCUUUCUUGAAUCAGUCACAUGGUACGGCCGGCUCGCAAAGCUUUGAACAUCAAAAACGUCACCAACACAACCCUCGAUACGCGCUUCGCCGAAAGUUUCCAGGAUUCCUCGGCACACGCUCCGAAGACUCGGCACUGAAGGACACAUCACUGCUGAGGCCGUCUACUUCAGUCUCGCUAAGAUGUUCGAGGACCGAGAACUUUAGUCUAAACUGAGCAGCAGAAAAGUCUUUGAGACUUCGAGCUUCAAGUCGAGAACGUGAAUGUUUGUUCUUGGUGUAAUAGAGUGUCGUCUGCAGAGCAGUGACCAUUUAUGGAGUGUUUCCUGAUCACAUGACUAACCUACAAUCUCCACCUUCAUCCUGAUCGUCUCCUAAAAGGUCGUAUCCUCCGAUCGUAGCUGAUCGUAACCAUUCAAGUUAACGUGUCGAUUUACACCGACUUCUCUCCGUUCCUCUGCGGAUCGCCGGAUUGGGAGUAGGAGGGAAGUGGUCCAAGCUCUGAACCCUGUGGAGCUCCAGCCCUGAUCUUAGCAUGAAAACCUUGACUGCAGGUUCUUUUGAGGGUUUAAACAGUUUUAUUUUCUGUCUCUUCUUGGGUCAAAGUCCCUCAUCCUUGAACCCAGGUCUUGAUUUUGGACCUGAGUUCUGAUCUCAGGUGUUUCUCCUGCACAUGCUCAGACUCCAAACUGGACCUGAGUUUGAUCCAGGUCUGUGUGUCAACAGUUUUUUCUUCGUCCCUGAAUAAAAAAGGCCGGUUUGCUUGUUUGCAUGUUUUUCUGCAGACAGGAGACUCUGCCAGCUCUCCGUCUCUCUCUCUCUUCCUCUCCUGCUCCCUCUGCUCUCUCUCUCUCUCUCUCUCUUUAGUCAUACUAUAGCUCGUUCGCCCUGCCAGUCUGUCAGCUGCUUAUAUAACAGCUUUAUGUAAGAGUCUAUAUGAUGAGCCUGUGGCCUUGUGAGAGACAGAGGGAAGAAGAAGAAGAAGAGGAGGAGGAGGAGUUCCUCUGCUCUCCUUCCAUCUCCACAGGGUCUGUAGGACGCCUCUCAAAAACCAACAUGUAUGUUUUUCAGAUGAGAACAUGGCAGCUGGUGUUAGACGGCCUGAAGGCAGCCAACCAGAUCUCCUCGCUCCUGCGUUGACCCAAUUACAGACGCUAAUUUGGCGUUUCAUCUUCAUGUAAAUACGAUGUUCUCCUCCGCAUGUUGAAAGAGCGGCUCCACGAACGCCCAGACGCUCAGAGCUGCAUGCAGAGCGCGACUGACGGACGGCCGGCCGGCCUCCUGCUGUGAGCCGAACGCCGAGCUGCAAUAUUAAAGAGCUGAACGGAGCGGCAGCCGUACUGAUCCUCACACAGAGACUCGUCUGAGUCCCUCAGGAGGGACCCGUAUGGACCUGAAUACGUUUGUGGAGAACUUACUGAGAAGCUGAGAAGAUUCAUGAUGCAUUGAAAUCAACCUGCUGGAGAAGAUGGCGGCGCAGGUGGCGGCGAAAGAGCGUUUGAGCCGGAUUUACAAUCUGUGAAGAUCAGGUACGUGAUUUAUCCUGAAUAUAGGACGACCCACUGGCUUUAGAUCUUAAAUCUAUAUCUUCUAUAUCUAUGUCCUCUCUAUCUGUUGUUUCUGUAACUAUAGAUAAAUAUCGAUCACUCCUCUUGACCACCACAGCCUUCCUAAAGGUCAUCUUGGGACUAACCCUGAAUUUCCACUGCAUCUGGAACGACUCCGAUCUUCAAUUUUUACCGUCUGUCAAUUCCUACCGGAUCCGUUUGUGAGGCGAAUUUCGUGGCGGAUUACAGACACUCACAAGAACCCGUGGAUUCACGUUUAAUCACAAGUUACGAUCAGCUACGAUCGGAGGAUACGACCUUUUUUAAGUCGUUCAGGAUGCGGUGGAAAUUGGGGGUCAGAAGUUGUCGCCUCAUGAUUGUAGACCCUCAAAUCGACCUCUAGAUUCUUCUCAGAGUUUUUUCUUCUGGAGGAGAAUCUAUGAUGCUCAGACAGGAUCAACAGUUCCUCUAAAAAGAUCCAGAUCUCUGUGUUUGGACCUCAUUUGUUUGUAGAUUUAACUCUGGGUACCGACAAACCCGGACCUUUGAAGAGUCCAGAGUCUGAUAAAUAAAUCAUGGAAAUGAUCCUUAUUUGGCUGAGAAACAGUCGGUGCAGCAGGCUGUAAAGACUCCGAGGAAGAAUGAACCCUCCUCCAUUAUCUGCUCGGCGUCUCUUCACCUCAUUAAAGCCUGAUGAAGCUUCUCUGCAGAGGAGGGGGAGUCCAACAAACACAAACGACAAAGCUGGACUGGAGCAUCUCAAACAUCCGAAGACAGAAACGAACCUUCAACACGUCCUGAAAUCAAAGAUCGGCCUGUUUAUGAUCAGCUGACUGUCCGAGCGUCUGCAGACGAACAGAAGGAGCUUUGAUUGGAGUUUGACCUGCAGGACGAGUCGUCAGGAUCAAUGUGACAACACGUCUGCCUUUAUUGAACAGAGAGUAUCAGAGGGAGGAAAAGAGCGAGCGGGUUCAGCUCCAUCGAUCCCUGAUGGAUGAGGGUGAGAGAGGAGGUAAUUGAGGUGAGGAGCGAGGAAGAGGAGCGAGGAAAGAAGAUUAAAAGAGGAAGAGCAGGGCAGGACGAGAGAGCCGGGAUUAUUCAGAGGAGAAACACGACGUCUGAAACCGAGUCUGGAGUUCAGAAGUGAAGAUGGACGAGUUUAUGAAUGUCAGUUCUGCUGAUAGAGAGAUAAUCCAGCAUAUCUGAGGUCUUUACUGCUGUCCUCAAAUCCACCAGGAAGACGUUUGGUUCUCAGUGUAGUCACAAAUUUAGGCCGGUCUAAAUAGGAGUUCUGGUUUUAACACAUAAACUCUGUUCACUACUGUUAGUAUUUGUUUGUUGACCCUUUAAAGAAGGAAAAGCACCAACAAAAAUGUGUGUUUUUUUAUUUUAGAUUUCUAAUCACAUCAGAGAAAAACUCUCAGGUCUUAUAAUCCAUCAGGGGUUCAUUUACACACAAAGAGGAGCAGAGACUCAUGGGAAAUUCAGGUGAGGGGGUCCGCUCAGGCUGAUUGAUCGGCUGACAUGAUCGCUAAGAUGGAAAUAAAGGUUUGACAAAUUUACUUCACAACCAGGACACGGACCGGGAACAAGACCAGGACAGAGUCUGCAGUGGGAACGCAAACCGGAUCAGGGUUUACAGCAACAAACUGGACCAAACUGGACUGGACCAGUUUAAAAUGGAAUAAGCCAAACUGGAAUGAGCCGACUGGACCAAACCAAACUUGGCUGAACCAAACUGGAAGAAGCAAAACUGGACCAAACCGAACUGGAAUAACCCAAACCGGAAAAAACAAACUGGACUAAGCCAAACUGGACCAAACUAAACAAGACUAAGCCAUAUUGGAAAAAUCCAAACUGGAAAAAAAUGGACCAAACCAAACUGAAAUAAGUCAAACUGGUCUAAACUAAACCAAACUGAACCAAACUGGACUAAGACAAACAGGAAUAAACCAAACUGGACUAAGACAAACUGGACUAAACCAAACUGGAAUAAACCAAACUGGACUAAGACAAAAAGGAAUAAACCAAACUGGAAUAAACCAAACUGGAAUAAGCCAAACUGGAAUGAACCAAACUGGAAUAAACCAAACUGGAAUGAACCAAACUGGAAUAAACCAAACUGGAAUGAACCAAACUGGAAUAAACCAAACUGGAAUGAACCAAACUGGAAUAAACCAAACUGGACUAAGACAAACUGGAAUAAACCAAACAGGAAUAAGCCAAACUGGAAUGAACCAAACUGGAAUAAGCCAAACUGGAAUAAACCAAACUGGAAUAAGUCAAACUGGACUAAACCAAACUGGAAUAAACCAAAUUGGACUAUACCAAACUGGAAUAAGCCAAACUGGAAUGAACCAAACUGGACUAAACCUACCAGAGCAGUGUAAGUCUUUCCACUCUUUGUGGUCCUCAGUACCAGACCAUGAACAGAAACCUCCUGGUCUCUCCUCUCUGGUUUUUUAAUUCUCACGUUUACGUCGAUCAGGCGUUCACUCGUGUGUUUCAGGACGAGUUAAUUAGAGUUUGAUCUUCACAAAGUGAACCAGCAGCAGCUUCCUCAGCACCAAUCUACAUACUGAUGACACACACUGAAACUCCUCUGCAUCUCCUGACUCCAGCUGAUUACAUUAUAAUAUUCACUUCUUAUUAGUGACGAUGAUGUUUGGAGCUAAAUGACUUCGGACAACACACACACACACACACACACACACACACACACACACACACACACACACACACACACACACACACACACACACACACACACACACACACACACACACACACUAACAACAACAAAAACACAAAAAGAUUCAUAACCAACUUUUUAUCUUGAGUUUUAAUCACUGAUGAGUCCUUAGAGUUGGUUAAAGACAUUUCAGAGGUCUUCAUUCAUUCAUUCUUUAUUUAUUCAUUUAUUUAUUUAUUUAUUCAUUCAUUCAAUUUACUAUAAGAGACUAUGAACUAGUUAGGAGCCAUAUUCCGCAGAGCUGCCCCUUCAUCCGUCUUCCUUAAAAAGUUACUUCACAAACUUUGACACAUUUUUGGAUUCUGUAUGAUUGUAUUUCAAUAAUGUAAAUCGGUGCGCUGCGACAAACUUUCGCACCGACACACUGCAGUUCACUCAGUUCCUUCAUCUGGACUUUGUUGUUUCUUUCACAAAAACAAUAAAGUUAUUUCUUUAAAACAUCGUAGUUUAGUGCAUAAAAUAAUGCGUUUAACUGCCAAACCCAAGACAUUUAUCGCACCGUAAGUCAUUAAGAGAAACUAAGACAUGUCAUCACAAUGAUGUAACUCGGCGCACUGACAGUGAUUUAUUGCACCAGCGCAAAUUCAUCACACCCCAUCACAGUGCUUCACUGCAUCACAACAUUGCACUUUGACAGUGUUACAUUGCACCAACAUCAAGUUCUUAAUCACACAAGAAUCAAAUAAUUAAUCGCACCAGACCCGACGGCACAUAAUUCAUUGCACCAAAACGGUUUGCUUUAGUGCACCGACUUAGAUCGAAUUAUUGCACCAAAGAGGAGCAGUUUUGAUUUUAAAGAGUUAAUGUAACUUUAAUGAAUUAUUGCACCAAUCAUUGUUACUCAUAUCGCCGACAUAAUGAAAUUAAUUGCACCAACAAAAUGGAUGUUAAUGCGCCAACUGAGAAAACUAUAGUAAUGAUUUAAUUGCACCAUUGUCAUGUUGUUUCUUUUUCUGUCCGUUGCUCCAGCACAGAAGAUUUUGUCGUUAAGAUCCAGAUGUUUGUUGACUUUGAAUCAACUGGGAAGUUCAUUUAUUGCACCAGUGGAGUCGCCCCCUGCUGGACAUAAAAAAAACUGCUUUUUUAAAUAAUUUUGUUCCUGACGUCCACUUCCUCUCCAACAGUCACAUCACACCGUCAGACAGUCUGACAGUCGAGCUGCUUUUCACAGCCACAGAUUACCUCCAGGUAUCGUCCCAAACACCCAGAGCGCCGCCGCGCUCUCAUGCAUUUUACAUUUUACAUGCUGGGGGGGAUUUUCAGAUCAGUUCGACACGCUCGACCUGAUACCCCCCCGAGUAUGUCAUCCUAAAGCAGCUGAUAAAAACAGGCGCCAGAGUGACAACCGACGAGCCAGACAGGCGGGUUUGAUGGUGAUCAGAAGGACCUGAAGGACCUCUUCUGUGGUCUGUUCUCCGGGUUCAGGACAUCACUGAAUUAAACCUCAAACACCCAAGACAUUUUCAGAACAAUAGAACGAUAGAUAGAACGAUAGAUAGAUAGAUAGAUAGAAUGAUAGAACGAUAGAUAGAUAGAUAGAACGAUAAAACGAUAGAUAGAUAGAUAGAUAGAUAGAUAGAUAGAUAGAUAGAUAGAUAGAAUGAUAGAACGAUAGAUAGAUAGAUAGAACGAUAAAACGAUAGAUAGAUAGAUAGAUAGAUAGAUAGAUAGAUAGACAGAAUGGUAGAACAAUAACACGAUAGAACGGUAGAUAGAUAGAUAGAAUGAUCGAUAGAUAGAUAGAUAGAUAGAUAGAUAGAACAAUAACACGAUAGAAUGGUAGAUAGAAUGAUAGAAUGAUAGAUAGAACGAUAGAUAGAUAGAUAGAACGAUAGAUAGAUAGAUAGAACGAUAGAUAGAACGAUAGAACGAUAGAUAGAACGAUAGAUAGAACGAUAGAUAGAUAGAUAGAUAGAUAGAUAGAUAGAUAGACUGUCCUUCUGCUGUAGCCUCAUUAAAUUUGUGAAGCUGUCACAUCCCUGGAGUGUGUUGGCAGCCAGGCAGGAAACACAGUUUUUGUGUGUGUGUGUGUGUGUGUGUGUGUGUGUGUGUGUGUUUACUACAGGAGAAAAAAACUAGAGAGGAGCAAAGAUUGAUGGUGCUACGGAGGGUUACUGUGUCUCUCUCUGUGUAUUUGUGUGUGACAGUGUAGAAGUGUGUGUGUGUGUGUGUGUGCGUAUGAGAGAGUGUGUGUGUGUGUCCUCAGCAGACAGCUCAAACACAUCCUGGGAAAUCUGGAACAUCUGAGUUAUCUCCUCUCACACCUUUAGAAGUGAAACAGAAAAAACACUAGAAAUGUUUUUCUAAUCAGACAGCAGACGUUUGUUUUUGAAGCAGGAAGAAGAAUGUACAUUUACAGUGAAACUGAGACCCUCUAAAGGCGACUGAUAGAGGCCUCUGUGUGACUAAAGAUUAAAUAAUACAGUUCAUGCUCUCGAACUAUUCUUCAGCUGUUUUCAUUUAGUUUAGUGACCUACGAUCUACAAGAAGUGGUUUAUAUUUCAAAAUAAAAGCAGAAUUUGACAAUGCAGGAAAUGCAGCGACCCAAACAGGAGGUCUGAGUCUCCAAGGUCAAGUCUCCUCCAGAGAAGAUUCAGUCGUUAGAAAUGGACGAUGGCUGAGAGAAAGAGAGAGAGAGAGUGUUAGAAGUUUUCAGAAUCAGGAGAAAGUGAAAGUCCAACAGUUCAGAAAUCAGAGGUGUGGAUGUGAAGGUCUGAAAGAGCAGCUGAGGUAGACGCUCCUGUCUCAGUGGUCAGUCUGAUCGCUGUGAGAGAAACAUUUAGAGUUCCUGAUUAGAAAAUGACUCUGACUUUAGGACUGAAGUACGGAAGAGCUGAGAGACAGAGAGAGGGAGAGAGAGAGAGGGAGAGAGUGAGAGAAACGGAGAGAGAGAGAGACCAGACCGCUGGACAAAGUGAGCGCCGUGAAGAGAGACGAUGAAACUCGACAGAGAAGCUGAAGUCUGUAAAUCUGUAAUACACGAACAUACACAAACACACACACACACACACACACACAACGAGGACUGUCCCUUUAAGAAAUACUCUAUUUAAUCUGUACUGCGUGUGUGAGUGUGUGUGCGUUUGUGUGUGUGUGUGUGUGGUGUCAGCAAACUGUGUGACUAAGAUUUAUUGUGUUACUGAGCUGUCACAGCAGAGUGUGCUCAGCUGUGUGUGUCCCUGUGAGUGUGUGUGUUUACGUGUGUGUUUGUGUGUGUGUGUGUAUGUUGGUGUGUUAUCGUCAUGGCGACAUGCUAAUCCAGUGAUAUGAAGCCAAAGUGACGGUGUAAUUGAUGUUCCAGGAAGCAGCGGCGGCAGAAGGCGAGGACACACCUCGAGGUGUGUCGAAGCCUCUGUGUGUGUGUGUGUGUGUGGCAGGAUAAAGGGCAGCAUACACAGAAGAAGAUAAAAGAUGGAGUGAAUAUUUGCAUGUUUUUCUUUUUCUUGAAAUCGUGAAUAUUUGAAUAAACGUUGGCAGACAGAAGCAAACGCUCACCGCUGACAUUUCCUGAAAAUGUCAGUAACUCCAACCGACUCAGAGUUUCUGCUCAUUUUCUCAAACACAGACAGGAAGCAGCAGGAGAGUCAGAGAAAAAUAAAUGAGUCGCAUAUGAAUAAAAACAACACACACACUUUUAAUGUCACAACCCACGAACAUCGGCACGUCAUCGGCGUAGAAACGAGCCGUACAUCCACGAGCUAGCUCCUGGUUUCUAAAAGUAGUCUGGGAGGAAGUGUGUCGGUGCUUUGGGCUCAUCCUGCCGCUAGGGUGGGCAGGAUAAGACUAGUUCCUGGUAACUAGAGGCUUGGACUGUGCUGGGUACCGGCUGAGACUGGAGUAACUUUGACUGUUUGAGGCGCUGAUCACUACGAGUAAAUUUGGCUAUUGACCCGGACAACAACAACAAACUGAAGCUGCUGUGGGAUAAGAGAGUUUAACGCCGAGAUUCUGUGCCCGACUUCCUUUCCAGCACGGGUUAAUCUGUGCUGAAUUUAUCCGCCAUGCUCCGGCGUCCAGAAAAAAUAGAACUCUUGUGAUCAGCUGAGGAGUCCGGCGAUCCGCAGAGGAACGGAAAGAAGUCGGUGGAAAUCGACACGUUAACUUGAAUGGUUACGAUCAGCUACGAUCGGAGGAUACGACCUUUUAGGAGACGAUCAGGAUGAAGGUGGAGAUUUGGGGUGAGACCUUACUCCUCUAACAUUCGGAGGAUAAACCUCAGGAGUGUAAAAGGACUUAAGACUCGAUCAGAUACGUUCAGGUUCAUCCCAGGAUAUCUGGAGGAAACAUCUCCACAGCUCGGAGUUCUUAAUGACAGGAAACAAACUCUCGUGUUCGGCGCUGAGGCCGCCGUCCGUCCUUCAGUCCUCCGCUGUGUUUGUUCCUGUAGAGUCCAUUAGACCUCAGCUCAUAAAAUUACCUCCUAAAUGAGAGGGAGACUCUGGAUGCCUAGCAACAACCGUCGCUGGCUUCUACCCUGAGUCUAACACACGCACACACACACACACACACACACACACACACACACACACACACAGAGGCAGUAACAGGAGCUCAGUCUGCAGGUUUCAGCCUCACUCAGCUGCUCAUUUCGGUCAAUUAGGACACUGUAAAUAUCCUCAAUUAAACCCUCUGUUCAUUUGUCCCAUUAAACCUGCUGCUAAUUGAUCACUGAGGGGGCGGAGUCAGGGGAGGGGGGGUCUAAUUAGGUGGAUGUUGUCUCCCAGAUGCAUAUUAACACAAACACAUCGAGUGUUUUUAAAGCAGAGGAGAGGAAAUCCUCCUCAGAGCGGGACGAGGUUAAUUGAAACAGCUCGUUAACACGCACACACCGAGGAGACUGACAGCUGGACGAGGUGUUGGUGAUUUCCCAGAAUGCACAGCACCACGUGACCAUGUUAUGAUGGUGUACCUCAGGACUCGGUGUGUCUUUUCCUGAAGAUUUAGAGUCUCUCCGCCUUAUUUCCAUUCGUCCUGUUGGGCGGCGGCGGCGGCUCAAAGACGCCGGAAAGGCACAUUGAGGAGGUGGAGGUAAUUACGCCGGGACACCCACGAGUGUGUUUGUGUGUCAGUGGGACAUUAAAUCACUCGCUCAGGUUUAAACUGUGUCUUUCUGCUGUACUUGGGGGGGGUCGUUGGUCCUGAUGGAUUGAUCACUCCAACCUGCUCUUCACCUUCUCGUUCGUCCUGAAGGUGGAACGAACCAUUCCGUCCGUCUGCGUCUUCCUACAAACAACAGGACGGAGACGCAUCAGCGGGGUGUGGAGGGUGAUGAGGACAGGAGGGUCGAGUCGUCAAAGUCAAACCAGCUGGAUCUACGUGAGCUUUUACAGCCCUUUUAGGUAUUCUCUCAGCCCCCUGAAAAUCCUCCACCGAGUCUUUGAGGGGUGCAGUCCAGAAACAAGAACCUGAUCCUCCUUCUCAGCCUCUAGCAUGCUCACCAAAAACAUCUAAGGCUUCAGACCAACCUGCAAUCCUGAGAGGCUACGAAAGGCUGUAUCUGCUGAUCAUAAACACUCAAGUUCAAAAACUUUAAAAACGUCCCUUUAACAGUCCGACCCAUUACGGACUACAGCGGGGUGCCGCAGCUCAAGGAAGAACAUUUAUGAUAAUUUCUUCAUGGAAAUACAAUCAGACCGAGACGCUAAGACAGAAGAACUACCGCGUCUGUAAAAUGAUUAAUAUGAUGAUUAUUACUUCAAGGGAAUGAUAAAGAAAUGAUCAUAAAUGUUCUUCCUUGAGCUGCGGUACCCCGCCAUAGUUCGUAAUGGACUGGCCUGAGGUCUCGCUACAAACAAGCGUCUGCUGGAAGAGAGUAGGUGAGUUGUGUUUAAUCUCUUUGCAAGAAAUCUAACACUCUUUUGGAAAGGACAACUGGACUUACUUGAGACGUUUCAAGUAAGUCCAGUUGUCCUUUCAACACAGAACUGGAAAUCAUAGACGCUGUGUCCUUAGUUUUAAACAAUAUCUCCAGGUUUAGGACGAACAUCUGCGUCCAUCCAGGCAAAGACCUUCAUAUGAUCCCAAACCACAUUCUGACAUGAUAAAGAAAUGAUCUUAAAUGUUCUUCCUUGAGCUGCGGCACCCCGCUGUAGUCCGUAAUGGACUGGCCUGAGGUCUCGCUACAAACAAGCGUCUGCUGGAAGAGAGUAGGUGAGUUGUGUUUAGUCUCUUUGCUAAAGAAAUGAGUCAAAGUUAAAAAGAUGUUUGGUGUCUAGUACUAUAAGAGACGCCAUUAGAUGAGCAACUAGAGAAGCAAGCAGUCGGCAACAUUCAUCUCUGGAGGCGGGGUCUAACUCAGUGUUGGACCCUAAAUUAAUUCUACGCCAGAAUAUCCCUUUAAUGGACUACAUGAACGUCAGACCAUAAAUUCAUUUAAAAAAUAUUUACUGAGAGAAUAAAUGAACUAAGAAGUCAGUCCGUUUUCCUGGAGUCGCCCUCUGCUGGAGGUCACAGAGAAUGCAGGCUGAGGACUCUCCCCUCAGAUUAGAACAGAAAACUGUUUUUGGUUCACUAAGUUAUUUUUACUGAAGCCCAAAAAAAGAUCCUCAAACAUAAAAACGUCUUCAGCUCAUCAAACAGUCCGUUGUCAUGGAGACAGAAAUGGAUCUGAUCUUUAAAAGGGUCCCGUUGGUCAAAGCGCUUUCUUAUCCAGGAUCUGACAGAGUCCCUCAUUAAAGCUCCUCCUCCUACCUGUGCAGGUGACCCUCCUCUGACACCACAAAUCCCCCGAUUCAGAACCGGACCUGAGAGCAGAAUCAGACCGGGUUCAGAUCAAAUACAGACACACGGUUUCAUCUGCAGCCUUUAACAGUAAUUAAGGAGCUGGAGAACUAUCUGAGACACACACACACACACACACACACACACACACACACACACCAAAACACUGUCAGCCUCUCCCUCCCUCUCUUGAAGACACAUUUAGCAUACAGAUCUUUAUGCACACACACAUUCAUAUCAAAAUGAAUAUACAGUCCACACACACACACACGCACUCGCACUCGCACACACACACACACACACACACACACACACACUGUCAUUUAUUUCCCUUUUUAUUCCUUUUGGGAGCCAAUUAUUUCAAACACACAAACAAAUAUCUGGAAUACAGAGAACACACAUGCAGGCUGUGUGUGUGUGUGUGUGUGUGUGUGUGUGUGUGUGCGGUGGUUUACUUUGAACAUCAAAGCAUCUCCUUUUGAUCAGACUAAACACACACACACACACACACACACAAAGACCAUCUGAGGACGAAUCGUGAGCUGCUCGAGUCUCCUCAUCUGAACCUAUACCAUGAUUCACACACACAUAAACACAUGCACACCUGCACACACACACACACACACACACACACACACACACACACACACACACACACACACACACACACACGAGUGAAGCUGCCCCACAUUCACUCGACUUCAACAGUAACUGUAAAAAGUUCUGUUUGUGUUCCUCUGGGUCUAAAUUGGACGUUGACAUCGAUGUCAGCAGCAGACCGGUGGAGGUCCAAUCAUCUGGACCAACUGAUGGUAACGUGUGCAGCUGCCCUGAGCUAUUAGACAACAUUUGUUUCCAUGGCAACAGAAAUACAAAGUGAGUCUGAAUUUGACGAACUCUCACGAUGUCGUCAAAUUCAACGAUGUUCCAUAAAAUACUAAAACGGCGUGAAGGAAGCUCCUCCCCUCCGUAUAGAUUAGACUCUUGCCCAAUGGAGCAAGUUUUUCGUGGGAACUAAAUGAGUAAAAUCGAAAUUAACCAAACGAUGACGAGACAAAAACACCUGCAGGUGUCCGUCUUCUUCCUCUCCAUAAUUCUGUGUUUUUAUUCUUUAAUUUUUCUGAAUGAAUCUUUGAAAAAGAGAUGAAACCAGCUUCAAGACCGUGUUUCAUCCUGUUUGAAAACAUGUUCAAGAAUGAAUUCGUAGAAAUGAUCAUACAAAAUCUAGAAAAUACUAAAAGAAGAUGCAGCAGGAAGCAAAAGUAAAAUGUUUAAAUUGUUGGACUUUAAUUGACUUAAACUGGACUUAAGAAUUUCAGCUUCUGUCGAUUUAAACCAGUUUAAGAUAAUUUAACUUUUUCUUUAACUAAAUUUAGAGCUAAAACUUUGACUUUCAUAGACGAAAUCCGGGUCAAAAUAUUUUAACUUUUUAUUCACUAAAAUUCAGCUGAAAUGGUUUAACAACAAUCUAAAACCUCUUAAAUAUUUUCACUUUUCAGUGACUAAAACUGGACUUAAAUCUUCAGGCGUUACAGGUGAGGUCGGCAGGAAUCCGUUAAAGAAGCAUCUUUUUAUUUUUGUGGUUUUAAUACAAAAAAUCUUGAAAUAUCAGUCAAUAGUCACCAUGACAUGACAAAGAGAUACAACCGCACAUUUUUUAGGACCGUGUGUGAAGUUACAUGAAACUUACAUCUGUACUGCUGCGGUCCCGCCUGCUGCUGCUGGUCCGCCAUGGUGCGCGCUGCUGUGGCCAGCCGGCGUUUGCGACUCAUCUAAAUAGGCAGCAGCUGGUGGCGCUAGCAUCACAUGCGCUUCUACAACUUUUAAGAGGACGAAGAAGAAGAAGCCCGUGGUGCAUUUUGGGUCAGUAGCAUGCCCGUAGGAUGCACCGCGACCAUCCUACAAUGUGGGCGUGUCUAGAAGUAGUAUCUGAAGUAGUAUCUGAAGUAGCAUGCUACUCGCUCCGGUGGCCAAUUCGGACAUGCUAGAUACUACUUCGACUACUACUUGGCAAUUCGGACACAGCAACAGAUUAGAGAAAGGAAGAUGAGAAGAGAGAGAAAAAACUACGAGAACAAACCAGAGAGAGAGAGAAAGAGUGAGAGAGUGAGCGCCAACCUUGCUCAUUAUUAUUCACGAGCGCGUCCUCGGUGAGCCGCGCCCACUCUCUCGUUCUCGUACUCUGUCACAGUCAGAGCGAGACCCAGCUACCGCUGUAUCCGCUAUGGGUCUCUUCCAAACGACCGGUGUUUCCUUCGGUUCACUGCCGGGAAAAUGAACUUAAAGCCGGGCAGAAUGAAUGAGAAAACACCGCUGGAGAUCUCCGGCUUCUUCCUCAACUUCCACCUCCUCUUCAGACUCGGGGUCUAAAAUAUAUGGUUUAAUACCUGCCGUUUUUAGCCUUUAGCAUAAGGUGACCAGACGUCCCCGAUUUCCGGGGACAGUCCCCGUAUUGGAUGACCUGUCCCCGGCAAAAGCUGUCCCUGAAAAUGUCCCCGAUUUAAGCGUUUCAUUAAUGAGAGCAAAAAUGUUGCGUGUGGGCUCGAACAACGGUUAUUACAGUAGCCGAAUAGUAGGAAGCACAAGUUAGCAGUCCUGAACGCUCAUUACCAUAAAUGUUAAUGAGCCAAAACCAGUUGGUUUUCCUGUAAGGUUUUUUAGGCAUACUAAAACAAACCAUCAAAUAACUUUUCAGCUAAAAUUAUGUUGCAAACAUGAUCAGAGGACAUCAAGGAUUAUGAAAAAAUGAUAAAAAUGGGGAUGAAAUUUUGGUGGCAGGUCCCCUUUAAUAACUUCUGAUUGUUAUCUCUCAUAUCUACAGCCUAAAGGUUGGGUGUAACCGCCGUGUGCUGAGCUGAUAUCCUGCUGACUCACACAUGUUGUUGAGAUCAGAGCUCAGACUAGUUUCACUUCUCAGGAAAUAAAACUCAUGUCAGUCGUCGUCGACAGCGAGUGUUGAAAUGGCGCAGAAAGGAGUUCAUCUGGACCGUGAGUCUUUCUCUUGUUCCAUCUGUUUGGAUCUUCUGAAGGAUCCGGUGACUGUUUCCUGUGGACACAGCUUCUGCAUGAGCUGUAUUCAAUCCUACUGGGAUACUGAGGAUGAGAAGAGGAUCUACAGCUGUCCUCGAUGCAGAGAGACUUUCAUACCGAGGCCUGUCCUGAAGAAAAACACCAUGUUAGCAGGUUUAGUGGAGGAAGUGAAGAAGAGCGGACUCCAAGCUGCUCCUGAUGGUUCCUCUGAGGCUGGACCUGAAGAUGUGGUCUGUGAUUUCUGCAGUGGGAGAAAACUGAAAGCUGUCAAGUCCUGUCUUCAAUGUCUGGUUUCUUACUGUCAGAUUCACCUCCAGCCUCAUUUUGAAUCUCCUACAUUUAAGAAACACAAGCUGGUGGAGCCCUCCAAGAAGCUCCAGGAGAACAUCUGCUCUCGUCAUGAUGAGGUGAUGAAGAUCUUCUGCCGCACUGAUCAGAAGUCCAUCUGUUCUCUCUGCUGUUUGGACCAACACAAAGGUCACGACACAGUCUCAGCUGCAGCAGAAAGGACUGAGAGGCAGAAAGAUCUGGAGGAGAGUCGAGAAAACAUCCAGCAGAGAAUCCAGGACAGAGAAGAAGAUGUGAAGCUGCUCCAACAGGAGGUGGAGGCUAUCAACGGCUCUGCUGAUAAAGCUGUGGAGCACAGCCAGGAGAUCUUCAUCCAGCUGAUCCGUCUCAUAGCGAAACGCCGCUUUGAGGUGGAGCAGCAGGUCAGAUCCCAGCAGGAACAUGAAGUGAGUCGAGUCAAAGACCUUCAGGAGAAGCUGGAGCAGGAGAUCACUGAGCUGAAGAGGAAAGACGCUGAUCUGCAGAAGCUCUCACUCACAGAGGACCACAACCAGUUUCUGCACAGCUACCCCUCACUGUCAGAACCGGGUCAACCUGCAGACUCAUCCAGAAUCUACAUCCGUCCUCUGAGAUACUUUGAGGAGGUGACAGCAGCUGUGUCAGAGGUCAGAGAGAAACUCCAGGAUCUUCUGACAGAGACGUGGACAAACAUCUCACAGGCAGUGACUGAAGUGGAUGUUUUACUGUCAGAACCACCAGGACCAGCAGAACCCAAGACCAGAGCUGGUUUCUUAAGAUAUUCACAAAGAAUCACACUGGAUCCAAACACAGUAAACUGGUAUCUGUUAUUAUCUGAUGGAAACAGAAGAGCAACAUUUACAAAACAACUACAGUCUUAUCCUGAUCAUCCAGACAGAUUCACUUAUUAUAAUCUUCAGGUCCUGAGUAGAGAGAGUCUGACUGGACGUUGUUACUGGGAGGUGGAGCGGAGAGGGGCCUUGGUUGAUGUAGCAGUCGCAUACAAGACUAUCAGGAGAGACGGGAAAUCAGAUGACUGUAAAUUUGGAAACAAUGACAAAUCUUGGAGGUUAGUCUGUUAUCAAGACAGGUAUAAAUUUAGUCACAACAAAGUCUUCACUGAUGUUUCAGGUCCUCCAUCCUCCAGAGUAGGAGUGUACCUGGAUCACAGAGCAGGUAUUCUGUCCUUCUACAGCGUCUCUGAAACCAUGACUCUCCUCCACAGAGUCCAGACCACAUUCACUGAACCUCUACAUGCUGGACUGAUGUUCUGGUCUGAUGGAGACUCUGCUGAGUUUAUAGAAGUGAAAUAAAGAGAAUUUUGAGUCCAUCAGACCAAAAUCAUGGACUGAGAUCCUUGAACUCUUGAAAUGUUCUGGUUUGUAAAUGUUUGUGGAUCAGUCUCACCAAAAACUCUGGGUUUAGUUCUUCAUUUCAGCUUUUUGAUUCUUUUCUAAAGAUGCUGAUUUGGUCGCAGCUUUAAGGACAGUGAUUGUGGAGAACUUUGAUUGUUUGUAUUUCUCAUGUUGAAAAAUCUUCAUACAGUUUGAUAUCAACAACAUCAAGAUGAUGGUUUGUUCAAAUCACCUUCAGUUGGUGCAGAUGUUGAAGGUCUGAGACUUUAGAAAAAAGUGAGGUCAAAAUCACAGAAAAAGGACGACCUUAUUUCCUGUCCCAAAUCCAAGCGUCUAAAGUCUUUCCAGUCGUCCCCAAAAACUCUUCAGAUGAUCUGUUUCUUUCUCUGUUUGCUGAAUAUUUGUGUUCAUGUGAUCGAUGGAUAUUUCUGUCUGCUUCUGUUGGAUCAGUGUGUUUGUAAAGACAUCUAGAAUCAGACUUUGGACAGAUCUACAUGUUGUUAUGAGCUUUUCAAUCACUCUAAUAAUAAUAAUCACAUUUAUUAGUCCGACUGUUUGGAUGUUUCUGACUCAGCUCAGAUUGUGGUCAAGUCUCUGAUUGUGGGUAAAAAAAUCAUAAAAAUCCUCAAACUGAGUCACUGAAAUCACCUCGUCUGUUUGUCUUUAUUGUGUCUGUUUCUGCUGGAUGUCAUGUUACCGCUCCGUCUGGGUCAUGGAUCCAUGUGGUCUUACAUGUCCCAGAUGUGAGUCCUGCAGCUGGAUCAGGUUUUCUGUAGAGGACAAAGACAGGAGGCAGGUUGUGUGUCUUUUUGAUUUGAUGUAACCAGACUAGUCCUGUUGAGAUCAUCAAUCUCUUUUUCAGGGGGGGUCCUGACCAAGAAUGGCAGCAAAAAACAAACACACUCAGACUCACACAGAUCCACAUCAGCAACAAGAAGAGUCACAAUCAAACGUCAGCUAAAACAGCGACAUACAGACAGUUUUCAGCACAGAGUUAAAAACACUCAGAGACUCUCAAUUCUGUCAUUGAGGUUCAAUCUGCAGGUUAUUCCAGCAGAAGGAGCAGAAAACCUAAAGGCCUUCUUAACCAGAUCAGUUCAGACUUUGGGAACAGCAAACUGCACAAAGACAAGCCAACGCAAAUUCAGUGUUCAUAUGAGAGAGUCCAGCUGAUCUCUAGUCUAAGGAAAGAAGUCUGGUCCACAGGAAGAAAACCGACUAAGAGGUGGGGUCGACAGGAAACCGUUAAAGAAGCAUCUUUUUAUUUUGUGGUUUUUAUACAAAAAUCUUCUAAUAUCAGUCAAUAGUUAUUAGUUAUUGAUGACAUUCGGUAAUAUAUCGAUAUCUCUGUGUUCUCUUCUGUCUGUGUCGUCAACAUUUGAACAUUUCUGAGCGGUCCGCUCUUUCUGACUGUAAACAAAGCCGUUCUCCACCUCCUCUAACCUGAUUGGUUGUGAGGCAGACGCUGCUCCCCCGUGUCGUUCAGGAGCCCAAACAAAGUUAGCGUGCUACAAUAUCGGACAGUAGAAACCAACCAGAAAGUUCGGAAAAUUGUCUGAAUCCUCCUUUGGCCACGACUGCCGACACAAGCAAGAAAACAAAGUAAAUACCGGAGACUCUGGAGGAAUAACGGGCGCUUAAAACGGAGGUAGACCGGACAAGAGCUAAAAAGCCGGGUCAACAUAAACGAUGGGGGACGCUUGGGGAUCUUGGUGACCCUGUAACCUUUCUGCUGGACAGGUAAACCGCUUUAACAAAGUAAGACAAGUGUCUGUAACAGAAGUGUUUCUUGUCAAACGGACCUGCUGUAGCGUGUUGUAGCGCCAUCGCUAAACUGUCCUCCCUCGGGUCCUGGACUAUGUCACUUUAUCCUCGUUGUAGAAGUCCUGCAAACAUUGUGUUUGCUGGUAGUCUGUUGGCAUCUACAGUAGCACCAAUGCUUUUGACUUUCACCUUGACUGGGCCCCAUUUGUAAUGAUCUGAAGGAUUUAUCUGCAUUAUAUCUGAAUUUAAUUGGAACGAUACGAGCGAGCAGGAGCGUCUGUUUGUGGGCGGGGCUUGAGGGGAGAGGAGGAGCUGAGGGGAAAACUGGUUGGGAGGGGUAGAGUUUACAUUCAAGAUUUCUCCUAAAAACUGGAACCUCCUCAGAUCCUGACUACAACACCUUUAAUUACUGCGUUGAUUGGGGAUAAGAAGCUGCUGUGGACUCAGGUGGGCGAUUGGUGGAAACAGAGAAGUUGAAUUAAUGACCUCGGCUGUGCACGUUUGUGCACACAUACAGACCCCCCCUUUGGGCCCCCUGAUCUAUAAAGUUUAGACACGCCCCUGUUUGGAUCAGACUGACGUUUUUUUUACCUGUUUAAGAAACAAUCUGUGAGUGACCCUGAUCAGAUUUUACAUCCACCAAACAGACUGACUCAUAAAUCUGCACACACGCACGCACGCACACACACACACAUGUAUAAUACCCUCACAGUAGGAGGUGCAGAGCUGUUUUUUUCGAGGGGGUUUCAGGGAUACGGAUGGCAUUUGAGGACAAUCGCCCUAUCAGACACACACACACACAUGCACACACACUAACACACACACACACCCCAGCAGCUCUUCUGGGCGUGUCAUCUGAGGACAGCUGGCAGCCCCCCCUCCCACCACUGUGAAUGCUAUAGAGCGAACACACACACACACACACACACACACACACAUGCAGACACACAUACAUGUCUCAGCCUCUGCAGUGCCCGUCUCCUCGUGUGAACCCGCUCUCUUCUGCCGCAUUUCACACACACACACACACACACACACACACACACACACACACACACACAGCUGAAAGCCCCUCUCAAUCGAACUCCAUCUCAUGGCCGAGGCGCAUUAGUCACCAGGGAGGAAAAGUCGUGCUCCUGAUCGCACACACAGUCUCUCACAGGGAGCAGCUCACCUUUCCAACCUCUGCUCCAUAAUCUGAUAACAACACUGAGUUUAAUAACAGAGGGAGAGAGAGAGAGAGGGAGGGAGGGAGAGAGGGAGGAGAGACACGAAGACAAACUGAGGAGGAGGAGGAGGAACAACAACAAGAGAUGGAGCGAAAAAGAUGGAGACAGAUGUUCAUGUGCCAAAAUCUGCAGAAAACCCCGUCAAGAAAAUCUGAAUGAAUCCUCCCGUCCUUCGUCUCCUGAGGGGUGAGGAGGAGGAGGAGGAGGAGUUCUGAUUGGCUGAUGGAGGUGAGCAGCAGGUGGGGCUGAUCCUGCAGAGGAGAUUACAUCAUGAAGCUUUGGAGAUGAGGAUGAAUUAACCAAAUGAAAUCUGAUCUGAGAAAUCCUGACGAAGGUGAACAGCCUCUAAUCUCAACAUUUAUACCUGUUUCAGACAGCAGGGGGCGAUAUCUGCCUCUGAGUCCCAAUCAAGACCCCAUCCUUCACAGUCUCAAUCCUUCAGAGACCCUGUCCAAGACAAGUCCACCCUCUGGAGAACCCCUCUUUGGAAGAACCCAGUCUUUAAGGGUCCCCAACCAUCCCUCCAAAAUAAAAGUCUUUAAAAAGAACCAAAACUUUAGAGAACCCAUCCUCUGAAGAUCUGCUGCUGUAGGACCAGCACAUCAUUUAAAGAUCUCGUCCUUUGAGGAACACAUGAUCAGGAGAACCUGCUCUACAAGGAAACCCUCCACCGAAGAGCCUGUCCUUAAAAACAUCUUCUGUCUUCUCUAUCGAUUAAACUCGAACUCAGUUACCCCUCAAUCUCCACCUUCAUCCUGAUCGUCUCCUAAAAGGUCGUAUCCUCCGAUCGUAGCUGAUCGUAACCAUUCAAGUUAACGUGUCAAUUUACACCGACUUCUUUCCGUUCCUCUGCGGAUCGCCGGACUCCUCAGCUGAUCACAAGAGUUCUAGUUUUUCUGGACGCCGGAGCAUGGCGGAUAAAUUCAGCACAGAUUAACCAGAUUAACCCGUGCUGGAAAGGAAGUCGGGCACAGACACAAAAUAAAACAUCCGGCUUCUUUUCAAAAUAAAACACUCCGUGUUUCAGGAGGAUCGUAUUUCACACCAUGCAAACGGGCGGAGACGAACAAGUGAAAGGUUUUUAGACGUCAUUUCACCCCGAUGACACCAUGGAUGAGGAGAUGCUGAUUCUAGAAGUCUAGAAGUAGAUUUCCUCCUCUGGAAGGACACAAUCUACUGCUUAUAUGUCUAUGUGUCUGUCUUUAGAGAGACAACUCGUUACAUUUCUGCAGAAUCAAAUGAAUCAAUGACAAAAAGAAAAAAGCAAAAAUACACAAAAACAGACAAAAACAGAUUUUUUUAUUCAGAUGGAGUGAAAGUUACUGAGCAGCAGUUUUUAGAAGGAUGAGAAUAAGAUUUCUGCCUGCAAGCAUAUGUGUGAACAUGUGACUGUGUGUGUGUGUGUGUGUGUGUGUGUGUGUGUGUGUGUGUAAUGCAGCAGAGAGAGCAGUGUGUGAGUUCAGAUGAGGUGAGGAGCUUUGGUGUGUUACAAUGCUCACUGUGAAGAAAGGAUGAGAGAGUGUGAAGCAUUUCCUCAGAGGAUUGUUCUCUCUCACACACUCACACACACACACACACACACACACACACACACACACACACAGUGAG